rnacentral:lncRNA from 1 species
CUUAGGUUCUCCUACUCCUAAAUGACACACACUAUAUUCUAUAUUUAAGUAUCUACAUCUUGAUACAUCUCCUUUACACUCAUAUUGCGAAUGCCAAAUUAGGGUCUGGGAUAUAUGGUUACCUGUUCUUGUAGUCUUAAUGCAUACCUCACAGCUAGGAGUGUUGGUACCUCUACCUUCCUAAAUAUAAAAAUACACAUAAAUAAACAUUAUUAAAAAAACAUCUUUCGUCGUCAUCCUCAGUCUUCGUCCGUGCGAAGGCACCUCAGCUUCCAGGAUGUAAGGACUGCAGGGAAUGGAGUUCUGCUCGUCUUCACAGGGGUCCCCUCAAGACUUUCCCUAAC